UACGGGGGGGGCAAGCGUUGUUCGGAAUUACUGGGCGUAAAGGGCUCGUAGGUGGCCAACUAAGUCGGACGUGAAAUCCCUCGGCUUAACCGGGGAACUGCGUCCGAUACUGGUUGGCUUGAGUUUGGGAGAGGGAUGCGGAAUUCCAGGUGUAGCGGUGAAAUGCGCAGAUAUCAGGAGGAACACCGGUGGCGAGGGCGGGUCUCUGGGCCGAUACUGACGCUGAGGAGCGAAAGCGUGGGGAGCGAACAGG
rnacentral:rRNA from 1 species